AAAAAAAAAAAUCUUACAAUUUCUUAAGAAGAGCCACAGACAAUUGAAAAUCCUUCUGAAACUGAAGUACCCCUACACCUUGUCCUAUCCACCAAUUUAUCCACCAAUCACAUAUGUAAAAAACCAUUAAAGAUCUAUCAGGUAAUCAUAAAUAAAAACAAAAUGAAGUAACAAACAGAAAAAUAAAUACCUGGAUCAACCUCCACAUUUUAAUAAAGGCACAAAAUCCAGGAUCCUAUCAUCAGAAUAAAUGUCCCAACACCAACACCG
rnacentral:lncRNA from 1 species